rnacentral:rRNA from 1 species
UCUUAAGGUUACAUGCGCUGAGCAUGCCUGAUCUCGGAAGCUAUGCAGAGUUGGGCCUUUUUAGUACUUGGAUGAGCGGCUGCCUGGGAAUACCAGAUGCUGUAAGCA